rnacentral:lncRNA from 1 species
GGAAAUGUUGUCCACAGCGUCACAGGCGACAUUCAUUCAAAGUACAAUGAACUUGAGGGUGACUCGGAAUGUGAUGAAAAAGAAGACCAAUUAGAGAUACAGUAAACAAGAAAAGGACUCACAGAAGACAGUGGCCAGGGCAUCAGACUGGGACUUGAAAUAAAGACAUGAUUUAGACUGGCAACCAGGAGAGGUGGGACAUUAUAUGAGUGUAUUGGAGAAUAGGUAGAACAAAAGUACAGAGGAAAAAAAAAAAAAAACCAGAUACAAAGAUAAGGGAAAGAUUUUAACAAAAUAAAACAGGAUUAAAAAGGUUAUUUGCAGGCUGG